rnacentral:rRNA from 1 species
UACAGAGGUCUCAAGCGUUGUUCGGAUUCAUUGGGCGUAAAGGGUGCGUAGGCGGCGCGGUAAGUCGGGUGUGAAAUCUUGGAGCUUAACUCCGAAACUGCAUUCGAUACUGCCGUGCUUGAGGACUGGAGAGGAGACUGGAAUUUACGGUGCAGCAGUGAAAUGCGUAGAUAUCGUAAGGAAGACCAGUGGCGAAGGCGAAUCUCUGGACAGUUACUGACACUGAGGCACGAAGGCCAGGGGAGCAAACGGG